GUAUGUAACUGCAGAGCUGAGGAAGCUGGGUGUUGGGCUGGUGAUCUUCCUCCAAGAACGAAAGCUCCUCCUCCCUAUCUGCAUAUGGAAUCUCCACUGCCCAAUCAGCACGGUGCUUCUGCUUGAGAACUCUCAUGAGAGCUGCCACGCACGAGAUUAUCCACAGUUACAUCAGGAUCAUCAAGAAAAGAAAAGGAAGUAAUGGUUGAUUGAAG